UACGAAGGGUGCAAGCGUUACUCGGAAUUACUGGGCGUAAAGGGUGCGUAGGUGGUUUGUUAAGUCUGCUGUGAAAUCCCCGGGCUCAACCUGGGAAUGGCAGUGGAUACUGGCAAGCUAGAGUGCGGUAGAGGGUAGUGGAAUUCCCGGUGUAGCAGUGAAAUGCGUAGAUAUCGGGAGGAACACCUGUGGCGAAAGCGGCUCACUGGACCACAACUGACGCUGAGGCGCGAAAGCUAGGGGAGCAAACAGG
rnacentral:rRNA from 1 species